rnacentral:rRNA from 1 species
GACGAACGCUGGCGGCGUGCUUAACACAUGCAAGUCGAACGGUGAAGGGACCAGCUUGCUGGUUCUGGAUGAGUGGCGAACGGGUGAGUAACACGUGAGUAACCUGCCCCCUUCUUCUGGAUAACCGCAUGAAAGUGUGGCUAAUACGGGAUAUUCUGGGUCUGUCGCAUGGCGGGCCCGGGAAAGAUAUUGCUUCGGUGGGGGAUGGGCUCGCGGCCUAUCAGCUUGUUGGUGGGGUGAUGGCCUACCAAGGCGGUGACGGGUAGCCGGCCUGAGAGGGUGGACAGUCACACUGGGACUGAGACACGGCCCAGACUCCUACGGGAGGCAGCAGUGGGGAAUAUUGCGCAAUGGGCGCAAGCCUGAUGCAGCGACGCCGCGUGAGGGAUGGAGGCCUUCGGGUUGUAAACCUCUUUCGCCAGUGAAGCAGGCCUGCUCCUUGUGGGUGGGUUGACGGUAGCUGGAUAAGAAGCGCCGGCUAACUACGUG